rnacentral:rRNA from 1 species
UACAGAGGGUGCAAGCGUUAAUCGGAAUUACUGGGCGUAAAGCGUGCGCAGGCGGUUUUGUAAGUCAGAUGUGAAAUCCCCGGGCUUAACCUGGGAACUGCGUUUGAAACUACAAGGCUAGAGUGGUGGCAGGAGGGGGGUGGAAUUCCACGUGUAGGCAGUGAAAUGCGUAGAGAUGAUGGAGGAACACCGAUGGGCGAAGGCAGCCCCUGGGUUAACACUGACGCUCAGGCACGAAGCGGUGGGGGGCAAAC